UACAGAGGAGCCAAGCGUUGUCCGGAUUGACUGGGCGUAAAGCGCACGCAGGCGGACGCGCGCGUGGGGUGUGAAAUCUGGCCGCUUAACGGCCAGGCGCCAUCCCAUACGGCGCGUCUGGAGCAAUGCAGAGGUCGGUGGAAUUGCCGGUGUAGUGGUGAAAUGCGUAGAGAUCGACAGGAACACCCAGGGGGAAACCAGCCGGCUGGGGACGUGCUGACGCUCAGGGGCGAAAGCGUGGGGAGCGAACCGG
rnacentral:rRNA from 1 species